ACGCUGGCGGCAGGCCUAACACAUGCAAGUCGAGCGGUAGCACAGAGAGCUUGCUCUCGGGUGACGAGCGGCGGACGGGUGAGUAAUGUCUGGGAAACUGCCUGAUGGAGGGGGAUAACUACUGGAAACGGUAGCUAAUACCGCAUAACGUCGCAAGACCAAAGUGGGGGACCUUCGGGCCUCAUGCCAUCAGAUGUGCCCAGAUGGGAUUAGCUGGUAGGUGGGGUAACGGCUCACCUAGGCGACGAUCCCUAGCUGGUCUGAGAGGAUGACCAGCCACACUGGAACUGAGACACGGUCCAGACUCCUACGGGAGGCAGCAGUGGGGAAUAUUGCACAAUGGGCGCAAGCCUGAUGCAGCCAUGCCGCGUGUGUGAAGAAGGCCUUCGGGUUGUAAAGCACUUUCAGCGGGGAGGAAGGCGGUGAGGUUAAUAACCUCACCGAUUGACGUUACCCGCAGAAGAAGCACCGGCUAACUCCGUGCCAGCAGCCGCGGUAAUACGGAGGGUGCAAGCGUUAAUCGGAAUUACUGGGCGUAAAGCGCACGCAGGCGGUCUGUCAAGUCGGAUGUGAAAUCCCCGGGCUCAACCUGGGAACUGCAUUCGAAACUGGCAGGCUAGAGUCUUGUAGAGGGGGGUAGAAUUCCAGGUGUAGCGGUGAAAUGCGUAGAGAUCUGGAGGAAUACCGGUGGCGAAGGCGGCCCCCUGGACAAAGACUGACGCUCAGGUGCGAAAGCGUGGGGAGCAAACAGGAUUAGAUACCCUGGUAGUCCACGCUGUAAACGAUGUCGAUUUGGAGGUUGUGCCCUUGAGGCGUGGCUUCCGGAGCUAACGCGUUAAAUCGACCGCCUGGGGAGUACGGCCGCAAGGUUAAAACUCAAAUGAAUUGACGGGGGCCCGCACAAGCGGUGGAGCAUGUGGUUUAAUUCGAUGCAACGCGAAGAACCUUACCUGGUCUUGACAUCCACAGAACUUUCCAGAGAUGGAUUGGUGCCUUCGGGAACUGUGAGACAGGUGCUGCAUGGCUGUCGUCAGCUCGUGUUGUGAAAUGUUGGGUUAAGUCCCGCAACGAGCGCAACCCUUAUCCUUUGUUGCCAGCGGUUAGGCCGGGAACUCAAAGGAGACUGCCAGUGAUAAACUGGAGGAAGGUGGGGAUGACGUCAAGUCAUCAUGGCCCUUACGACCAGGGCUACACACGUGCUACAAUGGCAUAUACAAAGAGAAGCGACCUCGCGAGAGCAAGCGGACCUCAUAAAGUAUGUCGUAGUCCGGAUUGGAGUCUGCAACUCGACUCCAUGAAGUCGGAAUCGCUAGUAAUCGUAGAUCAGAAUGCUACGGUGAAUACGUUCCCGGGCCUUGUACACACCGCCCGUCACACCAUGGGAGUGGGUUGCAAAAGAAGUAGGUAGCUUAACUCUUCGGGAGGGCGCUUACCACUUUGUGAUUCAUGACUGGGG
rnacentral:rRNA from 2 species